rnacentral:rRNA from 1 species
UACGUAGGCAGCGAGCGUUGUUCGGAGUUACUGGGCGUAAAGGGUGCGUAGGCGGUUGUUUAAGUUUGGUGUGAAAUCUCCCGGCUCAACUGGGAGGGUGCGCCGAAUACUGAGUGACUAGAGUGCGGGAGAGGAAAGUGGAAUCCUGGUGUAGCGGUGAAAUGCGUAGAUAUCAGGAGGAACACCGGUGGUGUAGACGGCUUUCUGGACCGUAACUGACGCUGAGACACGAAAGCGUGGGUAGCAAACAGG